CUUGAAUCCAAACAGAAAUCCAAAUGGAAACAGUUUGUGAAACCACUUGUCCAUGCCUACAACUGUACCAAAAAUGAAGUCACUGGCUACACCCCAUACGAACUAAUGUUUGGACGUUGUCCUCGUCUCCCCAUUGACCUCGCUUUUAAUCUUCCUGUACGUGAGAAAGAACAACAGACACAUUCACAGUAUGUACAAGACUUAAAAGCUAGGUUGAAAGAAAGUUAUCUGCUAUCUUCAAAGAAUGCUGCAAAGAACGCUGAGAGGAACAAGACUCGAUUUGACCAACGUAUUAUACUGUCCAAGCUAGAAGUUGGAAGCAGAGUUUUGGUACGGAACAUGAGGCUGAGGGGUAAACAUAAACUUGCUGACAAAUGGGAAAAUUCCUGUUGUUUCUUGGCCUGUUGACGAGUUAAAGAGGGUGUGAUUGGAAUAGUCUUAUCUGAUGGUCCUGAGUACUUUGUUGAAGAGAAUGUAUUUGAACCGACCUUUGUCCACCUUGCCCCGCUCCCAAUGGAGUUUAGAGUGGAGAAGUCUCUCAACCCCCUACAGUCUUUUCCCAGUGGUGAGGAGGAAAGACUUCCUCCAACAUCUACACCUGAAAUGGAAUCAGCUGGAGAAGCUCUGUCAGGAUCCCAGAGGGAAGACCCAUUGGAGUUUGACGCUGAUGAGACAUCGGGGGAAGAUUUGCUUGAAAUCUUACCCGAACCCAUUCUUGAAACCGUGUCUACAGACUUGUCCGAUCCUGGAGUCUCUGACAACUUAGCGGCCGAGCCUAGUCCUGUGACAUUACCAACUCUUAAUUGCUCAGAUUCGGUUAUUGACCCCCCUUUGAGGCGGUCAACGCGUCACAGAUCACCACCUAGGCGACUGCAGUAUGCCCGCUUAGGCAAUCCAUUGAUAUCAGUUGUUCAGUCUCUGUUACAUAGUCUGUCAGAUGCUUUGACCACCGCAACCACCAGUUCUAACCCUUCGGUCGUACAUAUUGUGUAGUGUUGUCAUGCAACGGGACGUGCAUGUGCUCUAGGGGGGAGGGUGUAACCCAGAGUAAUUUCCUGCACUUAUUUCCUGCCAUUGAAUGCAUCACAAAUGCAUGACUCCAACCACAUGACUUUGCUCAGCCAAUCGAAUGGCAUGUAGGUCAUAGUAAGCCUGUCCCGGCUUCCUCCCGUCAGAUGCGUGGAGGCAAGCCAGGUGACAGAGCUGUUGCAGAUGCUGAUUACUGUGAGCCAGAGCCAUAAUGUUGUUGUGCACUGAACAGAACGGAAUUGGCCAGGUGAACCUUUUUUGGGUAUGGAAAAGGAUGGCGAGCCAAUGAACGGCUAGGAGCAGGACUCAUUCUGCAUUGAAGCUUCCACUGGACUGGUAGGAAGCUAUCAAAGGCGACGCUCUGUCCCGUAAUUUCCGAAUACACUGAUUUCCACAAUCAUACACACCAGUUCCCCCGUUUAUGGACAAUAGCGCUUGGACAUCUCUCAUGGAUAUUCAGAUAAAACUCAUGGACUUCAGUGUGGAUCAGUGUUUUCGAUGUUAACAUGUGUUAUUUAUGGGGAACUUUUUUUGAGAAUCUAUAUUGCUUGGUAUAAGCCGGAAGAAUUUGCUUAGUUGUUUUUGUGCACCCCCACUGGGUUUUUCUAUUAAUUAAAUAGCUACAGCAGGAAUGAUUAUUUAAGCUUUCAUUUUCUUUUCUUAAUUUUCUUUGCUUUCGGUUAAAUACAUGGUACCUGCAAAAGCA